AACGAACGCUGGCGGCAUGCCUAACACAUGCAAGUCGAACGAGACCUUCGGGUCUAGUGGCGCACGGGUGCGUAACGCGUGGGAACCUGCCCUUAGGUUCGGAAUAACUCCCCGAAAGGGGUGCUAAUACCGGAUAAUGUCUUCGGACCAAAGAUUUAUCGCCUUUGGAUGGGCCCGCGUUGGAUUAGCUAGUUGGUAGGGUAAAAGCCUACCAAGGCGACGAUGCAUAGCUGGUCUGAGAGGAUGAUCAGCCACACUGGGAAUGAGACACGGCCCAGACUCGUACGGGAGGCAGCAGUAGGGAAUAUUGGACAAGGGGCGAAAGCCUGAUCCAGCAAUGCCGCGUGAGUGAUGAAGGCCUUAGGGUUGUAAAGCUCUUUUACACGGGAUGAUAAUGACAGUACCGGGAGAAUAAGCACCGGCUAACUCCGUG
rnacentral:rRNA from 1 species